CCCUUAGAUGUUCUGGGCCGCACGCGUGCUACACUGAACGGUUCAAUGGGUAAGGUAGUGCGAAAGCAUGACCUAAUCUCGAAAUCCGUUCGUGCUGGGGAUAGAAGCUUGCAAUUAUCCUUCUUGAACGAGGAAUACCUUGUAAGCGUGAGUCAUCAUCUCACGCCGAAUACGUCCCUGCCCUUUGUACACACCGCCCGUCGCUCCUACCGAUUGAGUGUUCCGGUGAGGCUUUGGGAGAAUGGCCUCAACAUGAGUUUAUCGUGUUUUGCCGUUUGAACUUAGUCAAACCUUAUCACUUAGAGGAAGGAGAAGUCGUAACA
rnacentral:rRNA from 1 species